rnacentral:rRNA from 1 species
CCUACGGGGGGCUGCAGUGAGGAAUAUUGGUCAAUGGCCGGAAGCCUGAACCAGCCAUGCCGCGUGAAGGUCAGUGCCCUAUGGGCGUUAAACUUCUUUUGUGCGGGAGCAAUAAUGGUCACGUGUGGCCAGACGAGAGUACCGUACGAAUAAGCAUCGGCUAACUCCGUGCCAGCAGCCGCGGUAAUACGGGGGAUGCAAGCGUUAUCCGGAUUUAUUGGGGUUAAAGGGGGUGUAGGCUGUGAGGUAAGUCAGCGGUGAAAUGCCCCCGCUCAACGGGGUGAAGUGCAAUUGAUACUGCCUUGCUGGAAUGCGGAUGCCGUGGGAGGAAUGUGUGGUGUAGCGGUGAAAUGCAUAGAUAUCACACAGAACACCGAUUGCGAAGGCAUCUCACGAAUCCGCGAUUGACGCUGAUGCACGAAAGCGUGGGUAUCAAACAGGAUUAGAUACCCCUGUAGUC